GAUGAAGAACGUAGCAAAAUGCGAUAAGUAAUGUGAAUUGCAGAAUUCAGUGAAUCAUCGAAUCUUUGAACGCACAUUGCGCCCUUUGGUAUUCCAAAGGGCAUGCCUGUUCGAGCGUCAUUUGUACCCUCAAGCUUUGCUUGGUGUUGGGCGUCUUGUCUCUAGCUUUGCUGGAGACUCGCCUUAAAGUAAUUGGCAGCCGGCCUACUGGUUUCGGAGCGCAGCACAAGUCGCACUCUCUAUCAGCAAAGGUCUAGCAUCCAUUAAGCCUUUUUUUCAACUUUUGACCUCGGAUCAGGUAGGGAUACCCGCUGAACUUAAGCAUAUCAAUAAGCGGAGGA
rnacentral:misc_RNA from 1 species